rnacentral:misc_RNA from 1 species
GUGGGAGGGGGCUUGCCCCCGAUGGCGGUGUGUCAGUCAGUACAUCUAUCACUGAUACACCGCUAUCGGGGGCAAGCCCCCUCCCAC